AUUUAAGGGCUGACUCCCAAGGAGAAAGGAUCUCUAUCUGGAGAUCACCUCUCUUGGAUCCCUUCUGUGAGCCCAGGACAUGGACACUGAGGCUCCUGAGGGAUAUACCACUGAGGCAGAGCAAUCCCUCCAUGUGGCAGGAUCUUUGCUGUUUGCUGUUGUAAGCAAUGUCAGCGGAUAUUCAAAGGAACUGGAAGUCUGAUGCAACAUAGCUAAGAUCCUUCUGGAAGUUCCAAUCUUAUAAACUUCUUUAAGCAAGACCGGCGUGAGGAAGGAAAGGCAAUUCAUUCUAGAAUUUUAUGAACUUCCUCCUAAAAAAAUCUCCCCAGCUGCUGUUCAGGUUCAUUAUGUUCCUAUCACCAGAGGCUGUUGAAAGGAGACUUCUGAUGAGGUCACUUUGGUGAUGCCAUUUCCAUCAACAUAAAUAACUUCUUGUAAUAGACAGAAGGACACAGUCACCACCCAAAACUUUAGUUUCUAUCUAUGACUUUUCUGUUGGGAACACUGACUUACUCUGUCAGUAGUAGUGUGAAUGAGAUUGACUUCAGGCUGUAAAAAUGCUAACAGAAAAAAAUCAUUCUGCAGUUUACAAUUACUCUUUGAAGUACCAAGGAGGGUGGAGUUUGAGGCAUUCAGGAAACAAGGCAAACUUUUAGUUCUGUUCUGUGAUUUUAAGUGUUAUGUAUAGAUAGAUUCUACCCUCCAGAGUUGGUUAGUAAUACUGAUAAGUAUAAACCAAAACAGGGAAAUUAUAUAUAUAUAUGAUCCACAAAUCCACCUUUGUUUAUAUUUUCAUCUUUUGUCCCUGACAGCAGUAAAAAUCAUGGAAUACUCUAUUAAUUUAAAACUCGAGUAAUUAUAGUUUACUUAUGCUUGAGAAUUUUGUUAAAUUAGUAUUAAUAAUCAUGUUAAAUCACUACCCAGAGACACAGCUGAAAGUUUGAUCUUGUUUAUGUCAACGAUAUAACAAUAAAUUUAAAUAAAUGGGCCCUGCCUCUUCAGAAUUUUAGUAAAAAAUGCUUAAUUCCUGUCAUUUCAAGGACCAUUGAUAAUUACAUUUACAUAAUUAAUGUGGUUUACUUUUAAUAGCACUUAUACUGAACAGUGAGUGUCAGACUGAAUGACUGUACACCACAUGACAGGGGAAAAUUAAUGUAUUUCUGAAUCAUUCAUUUAGUGGGGAAAAAUUGUGUAGAGCAAUGCUGAAUGCCCUUCUAUUGCAUUCUAGUCAAAACAUAAGUGAAUUGACAUACGCAGUUGCUAGAUGAAGCAUACUUCAUGAGGAAGUGCUUGAUACUUGUAUCAUAGAAACGUUAUUUGAAUGUGAUUAGAUUUUGUUUUCUUCUUAAUUUCUCAGUAAUGAUGUAGUAAAUAAUCUGAAAAGUCGCUUUUUACUUCAUAUUGUUUACUAAGGAGACUAGUUGAUGUUUUUACCAGCUGUUCAUUGCAUUUUUUUUAAAUGUAACAGAAUCAAAAGUAGGCAGAAUGGGAGCAUUACAAAAUGUCUUUAAUUCCCACAUCAUGUCUGAGACCUUCUAGAUGAAUGGUUAAUUUACCACUCCAGAUCAUUGACUGUGAUCUCUGCUGCAUAAACAUGGUGGUAAUUUUUCGUCUGAAAUAUUUUUGACAUACAUUUUUGUAGGGGGGGGGGUAAGGACUAUUAGUACUGUCCUGGUUUCAGCUGGAUUAGAGACAACUUUCUUCCAGCUAUUAAACACACUGAUGUUUCAGCUGUUGCUGAGCAGAACUUGUGCAGAACCAAGGACGUUUCAGCUUCUCAAUUUGCCCUGCCAGUGAGGGGGCUGGGAGAGAACAAAACCAGAACAGCUGUCCCAGGCUGGUUAAAGGGAUAUCCCAUACCAUAUACUGUCACGCUGAACAAUAAAGCCAGGCGUAUUUGGCUGGGGGGGCAGGAAGCUGCUGCCUGGGCACCACUCAGUGGGUGGCGAGCUUCAUUAGUAUUGUAUGUUCUUUUGUUUUCUAUUUGUUUUCUGCCCUGUUAAACUGUCCUUAUUUCAGCCCACGAGUCUUACGUUCUUUUCUGCCCCAUCCCAUUUCUGGGGAGUGCUGGGGUGGGAGGAAAUGCUUAUGCCUACAGUGGGAUUUCCAUUAAGCAGUUCAACGAUCUUUUGAAAGCAGAUUAUGCAUUUGGUCUAAACUCUUUUAUGUAUCAGGAGAGAGAAAUAACCACUUUUAAGAUUUUCAGCUUCCAGUCCUCUUCAGAAAUGCCACAACUACCUAUGAAGAGAGGACAAGUAACUCCAAUAUGAAGUCAAGUAGUUGCCUAGAUUAGUCUCAGAGCUGAAAGUAAAUCCACUUUGGUGGAAUAAGAUAGUCUUCAGAAGUUUGUCUUAAUUUAAUCUAUUGGCAUUUAACACAAAGCUUUGCUUAAUCACUUGGGUAUUAUGAGACAAAAAAAGAAUCACAAAAGGUAAGCCACAAGGAAAAAAGCAAACAUUUCAGGGAACACUCUUCCUCCCCCUCCUCAGGCCCAGUGUAAAACAGAUUCUUCUCCUCCUUUCUUCACAAUUUCAGCUUGUUUUUGACCCAGGUAGAACUCACUACCACCAGCAUUCACCUCUGAUCUUGUGGGUCAAUGUAAUAAAAUGGAGGUAUUACUUUUGGAGCAGACCUCAUAAAAUAUCCAAUAUAGUUAAUGUACAUAAGUAGUAAAACUUAUUUUAAUCUUGUACAUGUUUUAU
rnacentral:lncRNA from 1 species